rnacentral:snRNA from 1 species
AUCGCUUCUCAGCCUUUUGGCUAAGAUCAAGUGUAAAGUACUAUUGUGGAAAAAUGCUGUUUUUCCAUUUUCCAACUAACCAGCUGUUCGUUUCUUAGUUGACUUCCAAAAUUAUAUAUUAGAUAUAAAUAAUUCACUGGAAAUUCUUC